UACCAUAUUUAUAACCAAUUAGCUUCUUAGUUUUCACUUGUCAUGAUUCCUAGAAAUGAAAUGCCAAAGUUGAGAUGACAGAAAUUUACUAAAUGGAAUUUGGGCCACAGCAAUUGUAUCUGGUCACAAUUGUGGGUUAGAAUCAGAUAUAUGAAAGUUCAUAUAUGAAGAAAGAUAUUUGAGGAGGAGGAGGGGGUUGAGGGCUCCAUAUGUUGCAAAUAUUCUCAUUCAGCUAAAUAAAACAACCAUAUAUAUUUUUCCUUUUCACCCAUAUUAUUUAAGGAUUGGAAGUUAAGCUACGCACUAUAAACAUAUUUACAAGCUAAGAGUUGCAUAGUUUAACUUAAUUUGGCAUAUCGAGUUUUGAAGGACGAUCGCGAUAGAUACAUAGGUGUGGGGGCAUGCAGAUACUUUUCUCACAUUGGCCUUUGGCACUGCAACUUGGCCAGCUUUUGAUCACUAGAAGAGAACCCUGUAACUCCACUGCAAUUAAAAUCUUUAAGCCCACUUUACUACGACUAAGAUAUUAUUCUCUACUGUGUAUUUAUCCCACAUAGCAGUCUAGGUUCACCGCCUACAACUUUAUCCCCACAUAAUUUGUUCCCAUUGGAUUUGAAUCCGAAGAGUACUAGACAACUAUGAUCAUCGAUCGACCGCUAUAUAUAUAUAUAUAUAUAGACCCUGUUGACAUUACCUCAUCAUCUAAUCAAGCUAAACAUCAACAAAGAAAUCAGGUGUCUCCUAGAGUUCCCUUGACCACUUCAUUGGGAGGUGCGAUUAAUCUCCCUCUCCGAUAUGGUUUCGAACAAUUGUCUUCUUAUGUAUUCCUAUUGAAGUGUUUGGGGAAACUCCUGGCGUCAUUUGAUAAACAAAUGUCAUUUCAAGACUGACGUUGUAAUGCGUUGAUCUCGUCCAACUGCUUAGGCUAUCAUCAAUGAAGACAUGGAAUUGAUUAUAUUAGUCAACCGUAGAUCUAAUACUGAAGCAGAAUGUAUAUUAAUUUUUCAAGUCUUUAAGACGAUUGCUUAGAAGUUAGAGCUAGGCUUAGACUCUAUCAUGAAGAGUACAUGAUUGGUAUUCUUCAUCACAUUUUAACUUGAAAUAAAUUCUCUAUGAGAAUUUCAAACAUAUUCUUCUUUGUGUUUUGUGAAUGAAUAUAUAAUGACUCGCACAUUGUUG